GCCUGGGUGGCUCAGUGGUUGAGCAUCUGCCUUCAAUCCAGAGCUUGAUCCCGGGUA
rnacentral:tRNA from 1 species